UAGAGAGAGAAGCUCCAUCUUCUCUCUAGAAUUAGGUUUAAUUACAUGUUAUCAUCUCAUUUCUUUUAUGAUCUCUUACUUCUACUCCUUGAUUCUCAUGAUUUUGUAGCGUUAAUUUUACUUUUAUGCUCUCUUUUACAUUCAUGAUCUCAUGUUGGAUUUGUUUACAUUUAAUGCAAUUUUACUGUUGAUGUCUCUUUAAUUGAUGUU